rnacentral:lncRNA from 1 species
GCUGAGAAACAGAAGUAGACUCAAGCCAAGAGCACACCGAGGGCUAUUCUUCUCUGGAGCAGUGAGUGCAUCCACUGGACACAGGAUUUUCUGGUAACUCAGCAUUCAGAUCUGAUUACUAUCAUCUUCUCUUUCCUAAGGAGCCUGUGGAUAACAAGACAUUUAGAGACAUGGCCUCAGAGCUGGGAUCCCUAGUUGGGAAUCUGCGGUGCUUUGUUUGGAGGUAGUGAGGACUUGUUUAUAGAUGUUCUUUAGACAGACCUAAACUGAAUGACCUAAGUAUUAUUUAAAAUUUACGCAGUUUGCAGGAGGGGUGGUUUUGCUUCUUUGUUCUCCACUCCCUGUAACAACUUUAAAUAAACCUUGAAGGAUAUGUGUUAUGAAAUGUCACUACAGAAUAUAUGAAAAUUGUUGUGUCUUGAUCCUGUUAAGUGCUAGCACUAUUUUCUGCCUCUAUUUUCUUGCCUCUCUCCACACAGUGCAGCAGAUUUACUGUAAACUCCAGUGGAAGCUAGACUGGAGGAAAAGAUGACCCACUGUUUAAAGUUUCUGCUAUAACCUGCUGCGGAGCAAUUCUAGGAUUUGUUGGUUUGUUUUGUUUUAAAUAUAUAUCUAUUUACUGUAUGAAGAUGUCAUAUGUGGAUAUAAUACUUUGAUCAUCAUCCCCCAUCAUUCCCCUCUUGUCUCACUCUUAUUCUCUCUGGGACUCUCUUGUCUUUUUUUUUUAAAUACUCCACUGAUUUUAGGGUUGCUUGCAUGUUCUGGAUGUAGAGUUUAACUGGAUUAUGGGCAAUUUUCAAGUAGCUACAUCUCUAAAAGGAAAAAAAUGACACUCCCUCUCCCAUUAGGCAUUAUUCUUAUAUUACUCUACUAUCUUCUUGGCUAAGGAUAAGGCCUUCUGUGCCCUAGUCUCAUUAAUGCUAAAAUGUUGAAGUCUAGAUCUCAUUUAAGUCUUGUUCAGCUGCCAUGAGUGCAAAUUCCACUUUGUAUUAAUAAGACAUUAAGUCACACCACUCCCCGGGCCCCAUUCCAUGGCUCUUCCAUGAUGUUUCCUGAGCCUGACUAAAGAGGGGCAUUGAUGUAGAUGUACCUUCCCCCCUAGUCUAUUUAGGAAUGAGCACUCAACUCUCUUAUUCUCAGCCCUUUGACCAGUUAUAAGACGAUGCUUUAAAACCCUAUCCACUGCAAAAACAAAGCAAAUGGGGCACAAAGAACAGCAACAAAACCCUUGCCUCUGGCAUAAUCAGAAAUAUGCAGAAGGCCACUUGACAACAAUUCCAUUUUCCAAAACAGCAGUAGUAGAUGCUGUGGACAUUUUAACUGAGCAAUCCUCUUUAAUGGCCUGAGUUUUAGUAUAGAGCUGGGGUGCUAUGAAGGCAUUCAUCCUUCUUCAUGGAUUGAUAUUUCCCAUCUCUCUCCAUUGCUGUAUUCAUACACAGCACAAAGGCAUUGAAGACCAUUUUCUGCUGUUAUUUUCCUCUUUAUCAUGUUAGUAAUUCUUUAUCAAUUGUAUACAAUGCAUUUUAAUAUUUUUAUUACAUUUAUUUAUUCAUUUUAUGUAUAUUCACAUAGUGGGGCUGGACGCUAACAUGCCAUAGCAUGCAUAUGAAGGUAAAAAGACAAGGUGUGGAACUCACUUCUCUCUCACGACUAUGUGAAUUCUUGGCACUAGAACUCGGAUCACUUAGCUUAGUGACGAGUACUCUCACCUGCUGAGCCAUCUUGCUGGCCCAAGACAAACUUCAGUGUGUAAUUAGAACAGGGGAUGAGGACUAAAAGAAUGGGAAGCUUUUGUGAAAAGAUCUCCAGCAUCUUUUGCCUUCAUGACUUCCUCCUUCUCCUCAAGUGAGUUCAGGCUCUUGUUUGCCCUUGUUUGCUCUUGGUUGCCCUGAUCUAUAUCACUAUUUUCAUUUACGUCAGAGUCCAGUCAGCUUUUGUGACUGGCCAAAUAUAUUACCUAAUAUUUAAUUUCAGUAAAUAUUAGGAAAGUUUAAAUCUGUCUCUCUCCACCCCCUCCAUUCGUUUUAUCUACAGUUUUUUUUAGUAUAACAUGGAUACCUCUCCAGCUUGUGGUACGAAAGUCAGAGGGGACAAGAUCAUGGAGUCUCAUGGAGUCAUCUUUAUAGUUUAGUAGGAAUUUCCUAGCCAGGCGGCGAGGAGCUGAACAGCGCCCCCACCCGUGCAUGAUGUGUUAUGUAUCUGUGAGGCCACCAUUUUUCUGAGUAUGGGGAGAGAGCUUGGACUUUGUCACCACUGUUACUUGGCACUUUGUUGUGUUGUUAACAACAGUGCUAAGGCAGAGGGCCUCUCCUUGUCAUCAGUCACAUGUCAGGAGAAUAUGGAAAUAGUUAUCUUAAGGAAACAUAAAGUUUAGAUCAUUUUACAAGAAAGUAUAUAUGAAUUUAGGUAUUGAGAUAUUGAAUCCCAUAACAUUAAAUAAAAAUGUAUGCUCUACUAGCCCCAGGAAGUGCUGUUGAAUCCAGUGCUUUUGUAACUCAUCACAGCCAUUACAUUAUGGCGUUGAUGAAUGCUAUCUUAAUUAAGUUCCCCUUUUGUAACUGAAACCAAAGCAUAUCAAGAUCUUGAGGGAACCUCAUUGAUAUAAACAAGACUCAAUUUUUAGAUUUGUUUCAGUGCAGUGAACUGUGACCCUGGGAAUUUUUAAAACCCUUUUAUGACCCAUGGGUUUUUUUUAGCUUUUACAAAAUAUUUAUGGAAGAUUACACUUUGGGAUUUUGGUUUGUUUCACCCCUCACUCUGGAGACAUCCUCUUAGAACAGAAACAAUUUACAAGCUAAAAUUCAUUUUCUUGAACAUUUUCUUUAAAAAUCCAUCCACCUACUUAUAACCUUUUAAGCACUCUAUCUAGUACUUACUGAAUCCUGUUUUUAUUUUUUUAAUAUUGUGAAGCUCAAUGAUAUAAAUAAACAACUAAGAUAUUUAUUGCCUCAAAGACCUGGCAAGGUUGAAAUGAUUGCUUUAUCAUAGGGUCAUAAGUAUAUUUAGACCAAUUUAUCAGAACAGGCCCCAUGGAGCUGUUAUCAAAAAUGAAGUUAUUUCCCCUAUUGUAACAGUCAGGGCUCUGGAAAGAAGAAGAAAACAGAACAUACAGAUACAUUAAAAAAGAAGCUAUGACACUCAUAUCCUCAGAGGACAAAAGAGAAUAGAUGUGUGCAGUUAAAUUAGAAGUCAGAUGAGUUUUAACUUGAAACCUUUAUAAAUCUU